rnacentral:rRNA from 1 species
CAGUGGGGAAUUUUCCGCAAUGGGCGAAAGCCUGACGGAGCAACGCCGCGUGAGGGAGGAAGGUCUUUGGAUUGUAAACCUCUUUUCUCAAGGAAGAAGUUCUGACGGUACUUGAGGAAUCAGCCUCGGCUAACUCCGUGCCAGCAGCCGCGGUAAUACGGGGGAGGCAAGCGUUAUCCGGAAUUAUUGGGCGUAAAGCGUCCGCAGGUGGUCAGCCAAGUCUGCUGUCAAAUCAGGUUGCUUAACGACCUAAAGGCGGUGGAAACUGGCAGACUAGAGAGCAGUAGGGGUAGCAGGAAUUCCCAGUGUAGCGGUGAAAUGCGUAGAGAUUGGGAAGAACAUCGGUGGCGAAAGCGUGCUACUGGGCUGUAUCUGACACUCAGGGACGAAAGCUAGGGGAGCGAAAGGGAUUAGAUACCCCAGUAGUC